GCCUGGCUGGCUCAGUCAUUAGAGCAUGCAACUCCUGAUCUCAGGGUCAUGGGUUCAAGCCCCAUGUUGGGUG
rnacentral:tRNA from 2 species